GACGAACGCCGGCGGCGUGCUUAACACAUGCAAGUCGAACGAUGAAGCCGGAGCUUGCUAUGGUGAAUUAGUGGCGAACGGGUGAGUAACACGUGAGUAACCUGCCCUUGACUCUGGGAUAACUGCGGGAAACUGUAGCUAAUACCGGAUACGACCCUCGGAGGCAUCUCCUGGGGGUGGAAAGAAUUUCGGUCAAGGAUGGACUCGCGGCCUAUCAGCUAGUUGGUGAGGUAACGGCUCACCAAGGCGACGACGGGUAGCCGGCCUGGGAGGGUGACCGGCCACACUGGGACUGAGACACGGCCCAGACUCCUACGGGAGGCAGCAGUGGGGAAUAUUGCACAAUGGGCGCAAGCCUGAUGCAGCAACGCCGCGUGAGGGAUGACGGCCUUCGGGUUGUAAACCUCUUUUUUCAGGGAGGAAAAAAAUGACGUGUACCUGAAGAAUAAGCAUCGGCUAACUCCGGGCCAGCCGCCGCCGUAA
rnacentral:rRNA from 1 species